UGCUGAAAGUUUUAUGUGAAAGUAAUAUAACACUGAGUCAUUCAUCUGGAAAGGAUCAUGUAUGUGUGAUUAACUAAUUAUAUGCUGUUGAAAAUAAAUUCUUAAUUUCAGAUGUUACUUUCUUGUUUCAGAUCCCUGUUACGAUGAAUGCUGUUGGAGGGAUUCUUGUUGGUCUCGUGACAUCGUAUGCGGGUGGUGUCCGAAAGGGAUUUGUCAUUGUGUCUGCUCUACUUGUUACUGCUUUGCUACAGUUCGUCUUUGACGGGAAACCACCUUCUCCAUACUGUCUUCUGGCGUUUCCGCUCGUGAUCACUAGCAUAUCAAUAUACCAAAAAUAUCCAUAUCGUCUUAAAAAGAAAGACUAGUGAAUCAAGAAACGUAUACAAUUGGAAGAGGUACUAAGUUGGCCUAUUUUUUGUGCAUCCAAACAUGCAAGUGAUUACUAAACAUCAUUCAUUAUACACUUUAUGAAUAUCAGUAGGCUGAGGAGAGAUUUUGUAAAUUUUACAGAAGUUUUGCAUUUUUUUCAUCGAAUUCAUCCACGUGGACUGUGAUCGCUUUUUUCUUCCAAAACUUUGGAAAAUACUUGUUGUAUAUCACUAUUUACAUAAUUUUUUUACAAAUUGAUGAAGUGUCAAAAAAAAGUGGAGGAAUUAUUUUUAUUUGGUUGAUGAGAUUUUGACCCAAUCAAAUUUUGCUACAUCAUCGAUUAGUAAAUAAAUUUGUAAGUUAUAAUGUUACAUAGAGUGAAAAACACAUGAAAAUAAAUGUUUUGUGCUAGGAAGCAUCAAUUGGAACUGCAAAAUGUAGUUUCAAACUUUCAGUUUAUGUACAUUGAUGACAUACGUACACAACGCAGAAUCAUCGCAGGAAAAAAAAAAAAAAAAA